UAGCUCAGUGGUAGAGCAUUUGACUGCAGAUCAAGAGGUCACCAAUUCGAACCUGGU
rnacentral:tRNA from 1 species